UACGUAGGGUGCAAGCGUUGUCCGGAAUUAUUGGGCGUAAAGAGCUUGUAGGCGGUUUGUCGCGUCUGCUGUGAAAACUCAGGGCUUAACCCUGAGCUUGCAGUGGGUACGGGCAGGACUAGAGUGCGGUAGGGGAGACUGGAAUUCCUGGUGUAGCGGUGAAAUGCGCAGAUAUCAGGAGGAACACCGGUGGCGAAGGCGGGUCUCUGGACAGUUCCUGACACUGAGGCACGAAGGCCAGGGGAGCAAACGGG
rnacentral:rRNA from 1 species